ensembl:lncRNA
GUGUGGAGGUGAGUGUGUAUGUGUGUGUAUGUGUGUGUAUGUGUGGAGGUGAGUGUGCAUGUGUGUGUAUGUGUGGAGGUGAGUGUGCAUGUGUGUGCAUGUGUGUAGGUGAGUGUGCAUGAGUGUGUAUGUGUGUAUGUGAAUCUGCAUAUCGGAAUAUGUUUGUUGGUGAUUGAUUGUGUGUGUGUGUGUUUAUGUGUGCAUAUGUCUAGGAUGUGUGUCUAGUGUGUAAACGCGUGUGUGUUUGCUGAUCUGUGUCCCUUUGUGUGUGUGUGUAUGUGAGAUGAAUGGCUUAUCCCAGCAGGGUGUGUGAGCCGCGUGUGGAGUAAAGGCAAUUGGCCU